rnacentral:rRNA from 1 species
GACGAACGCUGGCGGCGUGCUUAACACAUGCAAGUCGAACGGAAAGGCCCUGCUUUUGUGGGGUGCUCGAGUGGCGAACGGGUGAGUAACACGUGAGUAACCUGCCCUUGACUUUGGGAGAACUUCAGGAAACUGGGGCUAAUACCGGAUAUGAGCUCCUGCUGCAUGGUGGGGGUUGGAAAGUUUCGGCGGUUGGGGAUGGACUCGCGGCUUAUCAGCUUGUUGGUGGGGUAGUGGCUUACCAAGGCUUUGACGGGUAGCCGGCCUGAGAGGGUGACCGGCCACAUUGGGACUGAGAUACGGCCCAGACUCCUACGGGAGGCAGCAGUGGGGAAUAUUGCACAAUGGGCGGACGCCUGAUGCAGCAACGCCGCGUGCGGGAUGACGGCCUUCGGGUUGUAAACCGCUUUCGCCUGUGACGAAGCGUGAGUGACGGUAAUGGGUAAAGAAGCACCGGCUAACUACGUG